GACAGAGGAUGCAAGCGUUAAUCGGAAUUACUGGGCGUAAAGCGCGCGUAGGUGGUUUGUUAAGUUGGAUGUGAAAUCCCCGGGCUCAACCUGGGAACUGCAUUCAAAACUGACAAGCUAGAGUAUGGUAGAGGGUGGUGGAAUUUCCUGUGUAGCGGUGAAAUGCGUAGAUAUAGGAAGGAACACCAGUGGCGAAGGCGACCACCUGGACUGAUACUGACACUGAGGUGCGAAAGCAUGGGGAGCGAACGGG
rnacentral:rRNA from 1 species